rfam:Purpureocillium lilacinum isolate PLFJ-1 scaffold00005, whole genome shotgun sequence.
GCCUCCUUGGCUCAGCGGUAGAGCGUGUCACUAGUAAUGACAAGGUCGUCAGUUCGACUCUGGCAGUAGGCA